GUCGAGGGGCAGCGGGGUGUAGCAAUACACUGCCGGCGACCGGCGCACGGGUGCGUAACGCGUAUGCAACCUACCCAUAACAGGGGCAUAACACUGAGAAAUUGGUACUAAUUCCCCAUAACAUUCGAAGAGGCAUCUCUUUGGGUUGAAAACUCCGGUGGUUAUGGAUGGGCAUGCGUUGUAUUAGCUAGUUGGUGAGGUAACGGCUCACCAAGGCGACGAUACAUAGGGGGACUGAGAGGUUAACCCCCCACAUUGGUACUGAGACACGGACCAAACUCCUACGGGAGGCAGCAGUGAGGAAUAUUGGUCAAUGGACGCAAGUCUGAACCAGCCAUGCCGCGUGCAGGAUGACGGCUCUAUGAGUUGUAAACUGCUUUUGUACGAGGGUAAACUCACCUACGUGUAGGUGACUGAAAGUAUCGUACGAAUAAGGAUCGGCUAACUCCGUGCCAGCAGCCGCGGUAAUACGGAGGAUUCAAGCGUUAUCCGGAUUUAUUGGGUUUAAAGGGUGCGUAGGCGGUUAGAUAAGUUAGAGGUGAAAUCCCGGGGCUUAACUCCGAAAUUGCCUCUAAUACUGUUUGACUAGAGAGUAGUUGCGGUAGGCGGAAUGUAUGGUGUAGCGGUGAAAUGCUUAGAGAUCAUACAGAACACCGAUUGCGAAGGCAGCUUACCAAACUAUAUCUGACGUUGAGGCACGAAAGCGUGGGGAGCAAACAGGAUUAGAUACCCUGGUAGUCCACGCAGUAAACGAUGAUAACUCGCUGUCGGCGAUACACAGUCGGUGGCUAAGCGAAAGCGAUAAGUUAUCCACCUGGGGAGUACGUUCGCAAGAAUGAAACUCAAAGGAAUUGACGGGGGCCCGCACAAGCGGAGGAACAUGUGGUUUAAUUCGAUGAUACGCGAGGAACCUUACCCGGGCUUGAAAGUUAG
rnacentral:rRNA from 1 species